rnacentral:rRNA from 1 species
GAUGAACGCUGGCGGCGUGCCUAAUACAUGCAAGUCGAGCGAACAGACGAGAAGCUUGCUCCUCUGACGUUAGCGGCGGACGGGUGAGUAACACGUGGAUAACCUACCUAUAAGACGGGGAUAACUUCGGGAAACCGGAGCAAAUACCGGAAAAAAUAUUGACCGGCAGGGUUAAAUAGUGAAAGAGGGCUUGGCUGUAACUAAUAGAUGGAUCCGCGCCGCAUUAGCUAGUUGGUAAGGUAACGGCUUACCAAGGCGACGAUGCGUAGCCGACCUGAGAGGGUGAUCGGCCACACUGGAACUGAGACACGGUCCAGACUCCUACGGGAGGCAGCAGUAGGGAAUCUUCCGCAAUGGGCGAAAGCCUGACGGAGCAACGCCGCGUGAGUGAUGAAGGUCUUCGGAUCGUAAAACUCUGUUAUUAGGGAAGAACAAAUGUGUAAGUAACUAUGCACGUCUUGACGGUACCUAAUCAGAAAGCCACGGCUAACUACGUG